CUUGGGGAACACCAAAUGCGAAGGCACUUUACUGGCGCACUCCUGACGCUGAAACACGAAAGCGUGGGUAGCGAACGGGAUUAGAUACCCCGGUAGUCCACGCCCUAAACGAUCCUAACUGGCUUUACGGAGUAUCGACCCUCUGUGAGGCGAAGCUAACGCGUUAAGUUAGGCGCCUGGGUAGUACGAUCGCAAGAUUAAAACUCAAAGGAAUAGACGGGGACUUGCACAAGCGGUGGAUCAUGCGGCUCAAUUCGAUGACAAACGAAGAACCUCACCAGGGUUUGAAACCCAGACGAAAUCCUUAGGAAACUUUGGACCUCGCAAGACGGCUGGGCAGGUGAUGCAUGGUCGUCGUCAGUUCGUGGCUUGAGUUGUUCCCUUCAGUGGGGUAACGAACGCAACCCCCGUUGCCUGUUUUAUAUGUCAGGCGAGACUGCUCCCUCACGGGAGAGGAAGGUGGGGAUGACGCCAGAUCAGCAUGUCCCUCUGAUAUCCUGGGCUGCACGCAUGAUACAAUGGACGCGACAACGAGACGCAAUACCGUAAGGUGGAGCAAAUCUUUAAACGCGUCCCCAAUUCGGAUUGAGGGCUGCAACUCGCCCUCAUGAAGCCGGAAUCGCUAGUAAUCGCGGGUCAGCUAUACCGCGGUGAAUACGUUCUCAAGUCUUGUACUCACCGCCCGUCAACUCAAGGGAGCCGGGAGCACCCGAAGAUCCACGCAAGUGGGUUCACGGUAAGCUCGGUGACAGGGAGUAAGUCGUAACAAGGUAACC
rnacentral:rRNA from 1 species